rnacentral:rRNA from 1 species
UACAGAGGGUGCGAGCGUUGUCCGGAAUCACUGGGCGUAAAGGGCGCGUAGGUGGCGACCCAAGUCCAUGGUGAAAGCUCGAUGCUCAACAUCGAGUCGGCCACGGAUACUGGGUUGCUGGAGCACUGUAGAGGCAGAUGGAAUUCCGGGUGUAGCGGUGGAAUGCGUAGAGAUCCGGAAGAACACCCGUGGCGAAGGCGGCCGGCUGGGCCGGAUCCGACGCUGAGGCGCGAAAGCGUGGGGAGCAAACAGG